CUCCAGACUGAACAAGCCCAGCUCCUUCAACCCGUCUUCAUAGGAGAGGUGUUCCAGCCCUGAUAAUCUUCCAACCAAUUCCAACCUUUGUCCAGUGAUGUCAUCACUCCAUCAUAGAAGGCCACCAGAUUGGUCAGGCAUGACCUUCCCUUGGUAAAGUCAUGCUGGCUAUCUCAGAUCACCCACUCGUCCCUCAUAUGCCUUAAUAUGUCUUCCAGGAGGACCUGUUCCAUGAUCUUCCCAGGCACAGAGCGCAUGCACACAGCUGCAUUAGGACAAAAUCCCCAGUGACAACGCAGGAAGAAAUGUCAUCCUUCAAAACCGCCAACUCACCUUUCCGUCCCAUCACUGCAUCUCCCUGCCUGAGCAGUGCAGGCAGUGCAGGAUAAAAUGCUCUCAGUCUCAGGGCCCGCCUGCCUUCACCGCCCACCUCAACCUGUUCAAGCUCCAAUGCCUCAAACGUCAGCUGAAGUGCCAGACUUGGAGAAGAAUAAAAUGAAAUUCCAGGAGUUCGUAGGAUCAGACUAUAAUCUCACAGCUCCUCUAUAUCCUGAAUAAGGUUCCUAAAUAUGACAUAUCUUAAGAUCAAACAUCAUCACAACCAGGGUGCAUUGUAUUUACAACAAAUUAUCCUAAAAAUGUAUUAUUAAACAGCACAAGCAUUGCCAGUAGUGUAUCUGAUAAGAAACUUCUGCAUUUUAACUUUUCUUCUAAACAUGCAUCUCGUACAGAACAAACACUCCUACCACUUUCCCUCUGCUCGCACUGGCACUUUUCAUUUGCAUCUUUUCCACUCACUCAGGUUAGAAUUCUGUAUUACCCUGAAGGGAUUACAAUGAUCUCUUUGUAGAGGUGAGUCUAAAUGAAACACUUUGCACUUGUAUGGAAGAAAAGAAGCCUUGCAGUUAGACAACCAUAAAAAUCAGCAGGAUACAGGUAAGCAUCUCCAUUUUGAUGAAGCUACACUCCUCACCGUGAAACUCUUAUACCUGCAGAUUGGAUUAAUUCUAGGUAAUUCUGAAUUGCUGCAGAACACAGAGCCAUUAAAAAUGCCCACAUGUAAGUGAUGACUACCAUUUUGCUCCAGUUGUUCAUCUGCAUGGGACUGCUGGCUUGCAGCACAGAAGUAGAGAACACCUGGAUCACUCCAAAGAAACCAGCCCAUCAUUCUCAAAGCUGUGGAAGAGACUCGCAGUGCAUUUUCCAGGAGCACAGUGUGGCUGUUGGAUCUGUCCCCAGGACCUGGAUGCAAAGCAGCCCUGCUGCAGACAGUGAUGUAUCCCAGAGCCUGCAGGACCCAGGAAACAGCUCCACUGUCUUUGCAUACAAAGACAGAACUAACAGUUUGUGUAUUUUUGUUUUGUGUUACUGUUUGCCAUUCAUUUAUUCAGAUUUAUACCAAAAAUGCAGAAGCGAUAUCCAGGAUUUUAUAUCAGCUGUUCCAGAUGUUAUAAAAACAAUGACGAAAACUGAACUGCUCGCCAAACCUCAAAUUCCUCACUCAGCUCCAAAUCAAAUUUGUUAUCAAACCCACUUUGUCUAAAAGGCAACAAACAGCAAGGGCAUCUCCGUCAGGUUAAACUGAGCAGCACAUCUGUGUUUGCUCUUACAUCGCACUAAAGAC